rnacentral:sRNA from 1 species
CGGUACUGCCAUCUUCGUUCUGCGCCGGCUUGUUGAGUUUGCCGAGCGAGGGGAAAGGCU